rnacentral:rRNA from 1 species
GAGCAGAGGGUGCAAACGUUGUUCGGAAUUACUGGACGUAAAGCGCGUGUUAGGUGGCGAGGCAAGUCGGGUGUGAAAGCCCGGGAGCUCAACUCCGGAACUGCCAUUGAAACUGUAGAAGCUAGAGUACGAGAGGAGGUGAGUGGAAUUCCCAGUGUAGAGGUGAAAUUCGUAGAUAUUGGGAAGAACACCCGUGGCGAAGGCGGCUCUCCUGGGACGGUACUGACGCUGAGACGCGACAGCGUGGG